UACGUAGGGGGCGAGCGUUGUCCGGAAUUAUUGGGCGUAAAGAGCGCGCAGGCGGUCGAUCAAGUCGAGUGUGAAAGCCCCCGGCUCAACUGGGGAGGGUCAUUCGAUACUGAUCGACUCGAAGGCAGGAGAGGGUAGUGGAAUUCCCGGUGUAGUGGUGAAAUGCGUAGAUAUCGGGAGGAACACCAGUGGCGAAGGCGACUACCUGGCCUGUUCUUGACGCUGAGGCGCGAAAGCUAGGGGAGCAAACGGG
rnacentral:rRNA from 1 species